rnacentral:rRNA from 1 species
AAUGAACGUUGGCGGCGUGGAUUAGGCAUGCAAGUCGAGCGAGAACCCGCAAGGGGGACAGCGGCAAACGGGGUAGUAAUGUGUCGGAACGUGCCCUCUGGACGGGGAUAGCGGCGGGAAACUGCCGGUAAUACCCGAUGAUCUCGAGAGAGCAAAGGUGUGAUUCCGCCGGAGGAGCGGCCGACAUGGUAUUAGCUAGUUGGCUGGGUAACGGCCCAGCAAGGCUGUGAUGCCUAGGGGAGGUGAGAGCAUGAUCCCCACCAUUGGGACUGAGACACUGCCCAGACACCUACGGGUGGCUGCAGUCGAGAAUCUUCGUCAAUGGGCGAAAGCCUGAACGAGCGACGCCGCGUGUGGGAUGAAGGCCCUUGGGUUGUAAACCACUGUCGAGGGGGAUGAAGGCUUGAAGGUACUCCUUCAAGUUUGACAGAGCCCUGGAGGAAGCACGGGCUAAGUUCGUGCCAGCAGCCGCAGUAAAAC